GCUCUCAGGAGACCAUUUCGUUGCUGUCAGGGUACCCUGGAGACCGCUGCGGAUGCGGACCAUCCCCCUCUUGGCCCACGGAUGGGGUGCUGAGCUGGGUGCUGGAAAUGGUCUCCUGGAUCAUCAGAGUUUCCUUUUGAAAUAGUGAAGUCCUGGAAUCCGGAGCCAGGCAGAUAGUUUCUGAUUUGCAAAAGGAGGAGGGUUAACUGGUGAUUAAGAGUAGGUGGGAAGGGAACCAUCAUCUCUAAUACACACUAACUUUUUAAGAAGUCUGUGGAAGUUCUGCAGUCCCACCCUGUCCCAUGACCUUCCAUUCUCUUAGUUCUGCUACAGGGAAGCACCGAGCGGCUAAUAAAAGAUUUGCUUUUGCCAUAAUUUUCCAAGCAGGGAUCAACAAAUUGAUAAGGCAACCUCCCAGGCCACAUCCUAUUAGACAGCAAGCUGCCUUCUUUAUUAUAAAAGAGGAGAUCCAGUUUUGCCAGCAC